rnacentral:rRNA from 1 species
AACGAACGCUGGCGGCAGGCUUAACACAUGCAAGUCGAGCGCCCCGCAAGGGGAGCGGCAGACGGGUGAGUAACGCGUGGGAAUCUACCCAUCUCUACGGAAUAACGCAUGGAAACGUGUGCCAAUACCGUAUCCGUCCUUCGGGAGAAAGAUUUAUCGGAGAUGGAUGAGCCCGCGUUGGAUUAGCUAGUUGGGUGGGAAAAGGCCUACCAAGGCGACGAUCCAUAGCCGGUCUGAGAGGAUGAUCAGCCACACUGGGACUGAGACACGGCCCAGACUCCUACGGGAGGCAGCAGUGGGGAAUAUUGGACAAUGGGCGCAAGCCUGAUCCAGCCAUGCCGCGUGAGUGAUGAAGGCCCUAGGGUUGUAAAGCUCUUUCACCGGUGAAGAUAAUGACGGUAACCGGAGAAGAAGCCCCGGCUAACCUCGUGCCAGCCGCCGCAGUAAGAC